rnacentral:rRNA from 1 species
UGCGUAGGCGGCUUGGUAGGUCUGGUGUGAAAGCCCCGGGCUCAGCCCGGGAAGGGCACUAGAAACUGCCAAGCUAGAGUGCCGGAGGGGAGAGUGGAAUUCCUGGUGUAGCGGUGAAAUGCGUAGAUAUCAGGAGGAAUACCGGUGGCGAAAGCGACUCUCUGGACGGCAACUGACGCUGAGGCACGAAAGCGUGGGAGCAAACA